AGCAGGAGGAUUCCAGGAGGGGACGUUCCAAGCUGGAACGAUGGACAAGCCACAAGGAAAGAGACUUUGGUAUCAAUGCUAAAUCAUCUUCCUUGAACAUGAAAGACAGCAAUGUACACAAGGGCACCGGUACUUCAUUAGCUAACAAAAAUCAAGAUGAAGCUUUAAAGAUGGUCGAAGAAAAUCAACAACCUGCAGCUAACUAUAAAAAUGGAGGUGCCCCUGAGAUUAAUAGCCUAGAAACAAAGCCUGUGGAGGAUAAACAUUUGGAGACAGUUGAGAAGUUGAAGAAGCGUAGUGAGCGCUUCAAGCUUCCAAUG
rnacentral:misc_RNA from 1 species